rnacentral:lncRNA from 1 species
CCCGACCUGGCUGGCACGCAGCCCUUGGGGAACAGGGCACCUCUACAGCUGCUGUGGCGGCAGCUGUCCCAGGGGCAAAAGGCUUUCGUGCAGCAGUCCCAGAACGAGCUGCAGCAGAUCCGCCUGUGCUUUGAGAGGAAGAAGAUGGUCAUCACAGAGGCGUGGGACAACGUGGCUGAGAUGCACACGGCCCUGAACAACCAGGCCACCGGGCUCCUGGUAGGUCCCCACAGGGCAGCACCCAGAAGGAUGGGGCCUGGCGGGCGAGAGGCCGGGGAGGGCAGGGCCAGGGGCCUCAUGUGCUUACCUCCUCUGGCCCCCAGAACCUCAAGAAGGACAUCUGGGGCGUGCUGGACCAGAUGGAGAACAUCCAGCUGGGGAUUCUCAGGUGCAGGUGCCAAUCCACCCCGUGGGCCAUGGCAUCCAUGAGAGAGAGAAGCAGAAAGUUGGUCAGCACGGCACCAGCUUCAGGGCCCUAGAGCUCACACCCUUCCCGCAUUGAGAUAGCCCCAGCCCAGGAUGUCUCAGCCCCGAACAGCUGUGCACCCCUCACACUCCCUCAGCGCUGCCCCUGGCAUUUGGCAGGCAGGAGAGUUCUAGCAGGUUCAGCAGCCCCUACAGGGCCCUGAGCCAGCAGGUGGCCCCUAUGCACCCCCAUUUCAUCUCCCCAAGCUCUCGGGUUCCUGGGAUUCCCUGUGGGUAGCGGCAGACCCAAGUCUUUCCCCCAAACACCCUGUCACUGCCAGAACUGAUGCAGACCCAAGGCGAGAGACCCUCACACUUCCCAGCCACAGACCAUCGGCCACCCCCUCCUUCCAAGCCUCUGACUCAGCCCAAGUCCACAGAAAUGCCCCCAAGGAACCCACCGACCCCUGCACACCAGACAGCAGCCACCCCCUCUUCUGAGGCCUGGCCCCUGCCCUCCCCUAACUCUGGGGGUCCUGCAGCAACAGUCCUGGCCUUGCCCGAGGAAAGAAUCAAAAUAACUUUUUUAAAAUAAAAUUAUAGAUAUAUAGAUGUAGAUAUAAAAACAUAAAACAGAAACAACGCAAGCGGACGCUGUUGUGUGCUUACUCUCAGGUCCCU